GCUCCCUUCGUCUAGUGGCCUAGGACGCGGGCCUCUCACGCCUGAAACAGGGGUUCAAUUCCCCUAGGGAGCG
rfam:Gammaproteobacteria bacterium RIFCSPLOWO2_02_FTLL_52_10 rifcsplowo2_02_scaffold_29633, whole genome shotgun sequence.